rnacentral:rRNA from 1 species
AGCGAACGCUGGCGGCAGGCUUAACACAUGCAAGUCGAGCGGGCGUAGCAAUACGUCAGCGGCAGACGGGUGAGUAACGCGUGGGAACGUACCUUUUGGUUCGGAACAACACAGGGAAACUUGUGCUAAUACCGGAUAAGCCCUUACGGGGAAAGAUUUAUCGCCGAAAGAUCGGCCCGCGUCUGAUUAGCUAGUUGGUGAGGUAACGGCUCACCAAGGCGACGAUCAGUAGCUGGUCUGAGAGGAUGAUCAGCCACAUUGGGACUGAGACACGGCCCAAACUCCUACGGGAGGCAGCAGUGGGGAAUAUUGGACAAUGGGCGCAAGCCUGAUCCAGCCAUGCCGCGUGAGUGAUGAAGGCCCUAGGGUUGUAAAGCUCUUUUGUGCGGGAAGAUAAUGACGGUACCGCAAGAAUAAGCCCCGGCUAACUUCGUGCCAGCCGCCGCGGUAAAAC